UGUUUUGGCCUGGUCUUAAGCCAUUAAAUAUUUAUUUAAGAAUUUAAUUAUUAUUUUGGCCAUUAAGAAUUAUAACUAUUGUUUAAGUUGGUUAUGUUUUUCAAUUUAUCAAUGGUUUUCAGGGCCUUAAUAAUAUUAAUUCUUUAAUUUUAAAGUAAUAUAGUCAUGUUAAUUAUUAUGCGGUAAAUUGAGAUUAGUGUAUGGCAUCCCUUAAUUGCAGUUUUGCCUUUAUUUUAAUUAUUAUUAAUUGGCAUUAUUAGUUACUGUUAUCAAGUUUAGAGACUAAUCUCAUUUAUUACUUUUCAUAAUAAUUAUUGUUUCAUGGUAAUCUGCCAUAUUUGGUACAUUGGUAAGAUUACCCAUGUCAAUUCAUUUUAUUACAUGACUAUUAAUGUUGGUAAUUAAGUCCUAUCAACAAAUCUUUUAUAUACCAUUGGACGCUGCAUUGAGGUUACUGACACCAACAAUGAAUAUGGGGAGAAUUAUGAAGUUUUUUUCUCUUGUGGAUCGUCAUCGUUGCUAGCGCAAUGGGAAGAUGCGGUUUGCAUCAUUAAGGACCCAAUUGCGGACAUAAUCUCUCUGCCAAUGAUGCCAGACUCCCUGGGACCCGACGCCUAUAAGAGGUGGAUGCGUCUUUUCAAGAUCCAUCAGAAGCAUGAGGAGAAGAAGGAAGCUCAUAUUAAAAUUGCUUUAAGUUACGCAAUUUGUUUAGGAUAUAUGAGUUUAAUGCUUAAUUUUAUGCAUAUUAAUUUGUCCACUGCAUAAUAUUCUGGUUUUAAAUUAUGCAAUUUUAUUAUUAUGCCUUCA